GCCAGGUGCAGGUGCACACCUGUAAUCCCAGCCACUCGGGAGGCUGAGGCAGGAGGACUGCAAGUUUGAGGCCAGCCUCAGCAACUUAGCGAGGCCCUAAUCAACUUAGCGAGACCCUGUCUCAA
rnacentral:sRNA from 1 species